rnacentral:lncRNA from 1 species
UGGGGGUGGAGGGAUCUUUCUUAGACAUCCGCUUCAUUAGGGCAGAGGCCCCGGCUCGAGCUUCCCCUCAGGAAUAAACUCAGAGGCAGAACCUAAAAUCAAAAUGUUUAUUGGAGUGUUGUACAAAAAAGUUUCCAGUCAUAAAAUGUAUAUUACAAAUCAUUGGAAAAAAAAAAGAACACAUUAGGCAUGCAUCUUCUUAAAAACCGAAUCUCUGAAAUGAAAGUCCAUGCCAGCCCCAGCUGCAGCCCAGCUCCGUUUUUGCAGGUUGUGCUGUGACGCUCGCUGGACGCAGGGCUUGGAAGAGGCUGCAGGCGGCGACGCCCCAGGACUGAGGAGUCCCUCAGAUCUUUAACAAAGAACUGCCGCGUGCAGGCUUCAGACCAACCCCAGCCAAAGCCGCUGGCAUGAGGACAGGUGCAUGAUCGGAUUCUGGGUCAGCCCGCAGGCCUCCCGGCUCCUGGGCUCAGCGGGGCAGGCUUCAGCGUUAACCUGGCGCUGUGCACCCCAGAACCCGCGUUGGUCCAGCAGGCGUGGGCCUCCCCCCAGGGCUGGGUGGCGUCUGAUGCUUCGCAGGGAGGGCGCUAGGCUUCGAGUCACACGGCACGGGCUUACACAGAGGGAUGGUUUCGCAUCGUUCUAAGCGGCACACAGCUAAGCGUAUUUGGGGACAAAUGCAAAUUGUUUCCCAGGCCAUAAAUAACUUUUAAAAAUUUGAUUUUCUUAGUGUUUCCAAAGACUCAAUUCUCAAUGAACCUCCAAUUACCCACAGGCUGUCGGCAAAUCACAGACCAACUCCAGGAUACAGCUUUGCUCCU